rnacentral:misc_RNA from 1 species
AACCAUAGAAACCUGCGGAGUACCUGCGGAAGGAUCAUUACCGAGUUUACAACUCCCAAACCCCUGUGAACAUACCACUUGUUGCCUCGGCGGAUCAGCCCGCUCCCGGUAAAACGGGACGGCCCGCCAGAGGACCCCUAAACUCUGUUUCUAUAUGUAACUUCUGAGUAAAACCAUAAAUAAAUCAAAACUUUCAUCAACGGAUCU